CCUACGGGAGGCAGCAGUGGGGAAUUUUGGACAAUGGGGGCAACCCUGAUCCAGCAAUGCCGCGUGAGUGAAGAAGGCCUUCGGGUUGUAAAGCUCUUUUGUCAGGGAAGAAACAGCAGCUCUAACACAGCUGUGAAUGACGGUACCUGAAGAAUAAGCACCGGCUAACUACGUGCCAGCAGCCGCGGUAAUACGUAGGGUGCAAGCGUUAAUCGGAAUUACUGGGCGUAAAGCGUGCGCAGGCGGUUAUAUAAGACAGGUGUGAAAUCCCCGGGCUUAACCUGGGAAUUGCAUCUGUGACUGUAUAGCUAGAGUGUGUCAGAGGGGGGUAGAAUUCCACGUGUAGCAGUGAAAUGCGUAGAUAUGUGGAGGAAUACCAAUGGCGAAGGCAGCCCCCUGGGAUAACACUGACGCUCAUGCACGAAAGCGUGGGGAGCAAACAGGAUUAGAUACCCUGGUAGUCCACGCCCUAAACGAUGCUGACUAGUUGUUCGGGAUUUUAUCCUGAGUAACGUAGCUAACGCGUGAAGUCAGCCGCCUGGGGUAGUUAGGUUCGUCGAGAGUUAAACGUUAAAGGUUAAGUUAGACGGACGUUGAGAGNGCGACGGACGACGACGAGGGAGGAGGAG
rnacentral:rRNA from 1 species